rnacentral:lncRNA from 1 species
UUUAUACUGAUAAAGAAUGUAUUUUUCCAGAAGAUUUCCAGCAUGGCCACCUCCUGCUGGAAGCUGGGAUGCUGGAAUCAGGCCUCUUCCUGUCUGUCUUUACAGGACACUGGGCUGCACUCUGAGAAGUUCCUGUUGCUCCCCUGACCAUCAUGUGGCCAGAGAAAUUGGUCCUUUUUCGCGUUUAGGUGAUUCAGUUCCGUUCAGUUGCUCAGUCGUGUCCAACUCUUUGCGACCCCAUGAAUCGCAGCAUGCCAGGCCUCCCUGUCCAUCACCAACU